AGCACCACAACGGGUGGAGCUUGCGGUUUAAUUGGAUUCAACGCCGGAAAUCUUACCGGGACCGACAGCAAUAUGAAGGCCAGGCUGAAGACUUUGCUGGAUUAGCUGAGAGGUGGUGCAUGGCCGUCGUCAGUUCGUACUGUGAAGCAUCCUGUUAAGUCAGGCAACGAGCGAGACCCACGCCCACAGUUGCCAGCGUACUCUCUGGAGUGACGGGUACACUGUGGGGACCGCCGCUGCUAAAGCGGAGGAAGGAAUGGGCAACGGUAGGUCAGUAUGCCCCGAAUAUCCCGGGCUACACGCGAGCUACAAUGGUUGGUACAAUGGGUAUCUACCCCGAAAGGGGACGGGAAUCUCCUAAAACCAAUCUUAGUUCGGAUUGAGGGCUGCAACUCGCCCUCAUGAAGCUGGAAUCCGUAGUAAUCGCGUUUCAACAGAACGCGGUGAAUACGUCCCUGCUCCUU
rnacentral:rRNA from 1 species